rnacentral:lncRNA from 1 species
CCAGACCCUGUGCCCCCAGACUCUUGUUAUUUUACCACCCCUAGCAGAUAUUUCUAGCAGAGUCUGAUAGCAAAAGUAAAAGUCUUUAGAUCAUUAGGUAUAAUAAAAACUAUAAGAAUCAAUUUCAGUGUAGUGAUUUUGGGGGAACACAAAGUUUCUUAUGUUGUCAUCUGCCCCAGUGAAGUCAAUACAUUCUGUUAGUCAUUGUGUGUUUUUCUACUCCUACUCCUCUCUUUCCUUUCAACAAACAGAAUACACAUUUUCAACCUGACUCUGAGGUGGGGACCGACACAAGGAUGCAUAGGUAGAGUCAACUCUGCCUGUGUCUAUGCCAAGUGCUCUUAUAUUAAAGAAGGCUAAGGCAAUUGUUACAUCUUCUCCCCCUCAGGGUUACAUGACAUUUCAAACAGCAUGGGUAACAUAAAUGAGGGGUAAAGAUAUGUCCUUCCUGUGCCUGAAAUCACACUGUCUAUUCAAAAAGCUAAAACUGGCCAGGUGUGUAAUCCUAGCUACUCAGGAGGCUAAGGCGGGAGUGAAAGGCCAAGGUUUGUCCUCAGAUAGCAGUGACAAAGAUAAAGCACUUUACUGCAAGCUGGUGUUAGCUUAUAUAGAAAGUGAGAGUUAUCUUAAACCAGGAACCCCCUGGGGCCAAUCAUAGUAAAGGUCAGGUCAUCCCCUAUGGUGCAAGCACGUCCACCCUGCAUAAGAUUCCUGGGGAUCACGAACUGU